rnacentral:tRNA from 1 species
GCCUGUAUAGCUCAGUUGGUAGAGCACUAGUUUUGUACAUAGGACGUCAAAAAAACUAGGGGUCGGGGGUUCAAAUCCCUCUACAGGCU